GAAAUGCGAUAAGUAAUGUGAAUUGCAGAAUUCAGUGAAUCAUCGAAUCUUUGAACGCACAUUGCGCCCGCCAGUAUUCUGGCGGGCAUGCCUGUCCGAGCGUCAUUUCAACCAUCAAGCCCCCGGGCUUGUGUUGGGGACCUGCGGCUGCCCGCAGGCCCUGAAAACCAGUGGCGGGCUCGCUGUCACACCGAGCGUAGUAGCAAUCACCUCGCUCAGGGCGUGCUGCGGGUUCCGGCCGUUAAACAGCCUUACAAAACCCAAGGUUGACCUCGGAUCAGGUAGGAAGGCCCGCAGAACUUAAGC
rnacentral:misc_RNA from 1 species